GUGGGGAAUAUUGGACAAUGGGGGGAACCCUGAUCCAGCCAUGCCGCGUGUGUGAAGAAGGCCUUUUGGUUGUAAAGCACUUUAAGCGAGGAGGAGGCUACCGAGAUUAAUACUCUUGGAUAGUGGACGUUACUCGCAGAAUAAGCACCGGCUAACUCUGUGCCAGCAGCCGCGGUAAUACAGAGGGUGCAAGCGUUAAUCGGAUUUACUGGGCGUAAAGCGCGCGUAGGUGGCCAAUUAAGUCAAAUGUGAAAUCCCCGAGCUUAACGUGGGAAUUGCAUUCGAUACUGGUUGGCUAGAGUAUGGGAGAGGAUGGUAGAAUUCCAGGUGUAGCGGUGAAAUGCGUAGAGAUCUGGAGGAAUACCGAUGGCGAAGGCAGCCAUCUGGCCCAAUACUGACGCUGAGGCGCGAAAGCGUGGGGAGCAAACAGGAUUAGAAACCCCUGUAGUCC
rnacentral:rRNA from 1 species